rnacentral:tRNA from 1 species
GCCACCGUAGCUCAGCUGGUAGAGCAGCUCAUUCGUAAUGAGCGGGUCGGAGGUUCAAGUCCUCUCGGUGGCUC